rnacentral:rRNA from 1 species
AUGCACGCUGACAGAAUGCUUAACACAUGCAAGUCGAUGGGGAAGUGGUGCUUGCACCAUGGCAACCAUGGCGGACGGGUGAGUAACGCGUAAGGGACUUACCUGCAGGACUGGGAUAACAGGGGGAAACUCCUGACAAGACCUGAUAAUGUCAUGGAGCUGCAUGGCUUUAUGAUGAAAGGAGACGCCUGCGGAGAGCCUUGCGUCCUAUUAGCUAGUUGGUGAGGUAAUGGCUCACCAAGGCGAAGAUAGGUAGCCGGCCUGAGAGGGUGGACGGCCACAAGGGGACUGAGAUACGGCCCUUACUCCUACGGGAGGCAGCAGUGGGGAAUAUUGGACAAUGGGGGCAACCCUGAUCCAGCAAUUCUGUGUGCACGAAGAAGGUUUUCGGAUUGUAAAGUGCUUUCAGCAGGGAAGAAGUAAGUGACGGUACCUGCAGAAGAAGCGACGGCUAAAUACGUG